AUGUGUUCAUAUUCCUCAUGCUGGUAUAUAUGCUAUCCUCAAAACUUCAUGUCAACCAGCCAUUUGAUACCCUCCAAACACCUUGGAGAGUCAAGACAUCUUUAUUUGCUUAGAAAGGAUAUGGGAAAAUACACCAACCCCUGUACUGAGAAUUUACCAUCUACCAGAAGUACAUUGUGUUCUAUUGAGGGUGACCUGCAGGCCUUUCUGGAAGAGAAGGUAGAAGACAAGGGAAAACAAGAAUUUAUUAGUUAUGCAAAGAAUCCUUUCCUCCAAGGAUGAACAUUCUACAGGCAGGAGAAAAGAAUCCAUGGGGACCUGGGCAGAUUGAAACAGCUGUACACUGAGGAGGUUCAUGCUGGGAGAAGACAUUUCCUUUAAAGUGUUUCUGCAUCUUCAAAGCACAACAUUGAAAAAGGCCAAAUGAUGUUCCCUCUGCUGAAUAAAGCUGGGACAGCUGCUUUAACCUCA
rnacentral:lncRNA from 1 species